CGUUGCCUUUAUUUACUUGUCACUGAAUUUAUAUUGAAAGUCUGUUACAUAAAUGUUUUACUACAAGUAUCACAUAAACUUAACAUUGGCCCAUAAACCAUGAAAAUUAGGUCAAGGUCAUGUGAACCCUGCAAUACAGAAAUUUACAUCUUACAAUACUUCCAUUCACCAAAUAUAGUUGACUUUUUGCUCAUAUUAUCUGAUUAACUGACAAAAUCACAAAACUUAUAAUUGACCAAUAAACAUGAAAGUAAGAACAAUGUCAUAUGACUCCUGCCAUACAGACUUAUACACCUCACAAUUAUUCUAUACACUAAAUGUUAUUGACAUAUAGCCUAUACCAU
rnacentral:lncRNA from 1 species